GUUUUUCUGGGGAGUAUUCUCAGAUUGCAGACCGCGCAUUCCACUCAGAGCGCUGGGCGAGUGCAGUUCCAUUCGCUUGGCAGUCAGGGCGGCCUGGCUCUCCUGUAGGCCGGGCACAUUGGCGUCCAGCCUUGUGACCUUCCCUGCACUUACAGGCGAGAUCACGUGCUUCUUCCAGCCCUCUCAUGCCUGCCCUUCACCCCUGCCGGUGACAUCGUUUGGGCUUAAGGAACAGACUUGCUCACAACAAUCGUAGAAGGGGGUGGAUAUGAGGGGUCAGGGAAACUCCUGCUAACUAGCCAUUUCUCUUUGGAUUCUUCUGUCCAAACUCUGGAGGGAGCUGAUCUGCCUGGCUUUGCUAAUUACCACUACCUUUACAGGACAGUCAUUGGCACCAGGUCUUUGGUCUGGGUCCAGAUGAUCAGCACUGUAAAGAUAGUGGUAACGCCUGGCACUGCAUUACUGAGCAUUAACUCUGGACAGGCCAGUUCCUUUCAGGAGGACUUCCCCAACCCCUCGGCCCUUUCUGCUUUGCCCCUCUCCUGAAACGCUAUCACUUGUGACUUGCCAACCCACAUUUUAAAGAAUUGUUACAUUAGUGAUUCCUAAAGAUCCUUAGUCCUUCUGUUCAUCCAUUCAUUGAUACUUAAUGAGCAUUCUUGAGGGGCUAUAAUGAACAAGGCAGAGGUGUCCCUUACCCCAGAAGAGCUCUAAUGGGAAAGAAGAUGAUAAAGACAAUUAGCAUACAAAGUGAUCAGUGCUGUGAGAAGGAAGUGGGAGGAACAUAGGACUCUCGGGUGGGCGCCUCAACUGGACUAGAUGGUGCAGGGAAGGCUUCCGGAAGCAGCUACCAAGUAAAGUAGGACCUGAAGACUGAGUAGGUGUCAGUCAGAUGAGGGGAAGGUGUGUGGAAUUGAAAGCAUCUCCAUGGCAGUGGUAGGAGCACUUGUGUGAGAGUAUGCUGUGUGUUUGAGGGAUUGAAGCAGAUCAACAAAGUGGGGAUGGCUAGAAGGGUGCCUGGGCAGGGUGGCAAAGGGACUGGAGAACCAAGAAUGGAUCCCAAGGAUUGAGUCAUUUUAGGGAGAGGCUUUAACAUGUGGAGAAUGGCUCCUUGUGGACAGAUUGGUAGGAACAGUUACGCUGUAUGGCUGUCCAGAGUUGAGACAGUGGCCUGGUCUAGGUUGGGGCAGAAAGGAUACCAAGAAGGGAUGGAAGUAAAAGACAGCCCAGAGGUAGUACUGACAGGGCAUGGUGAUUAAGUGGACUCAGGAGAUGAGGAGUGGAGGCUUCUGGUGGGACACCUGGGGCAGGGGGUAGUGCAUUUCCUGAAGGUGCCGAACACAGGCAGGGCCAUCCUGGGCACCAUCUGGGACGUGACGAGGUAGAUAUGGUUAUACAGAGCUGAAGCUCAGGAGGCAAAUCUGGGCCAGAAAUUGGGAUUUGUGAACCAUUCAGAAGCAAAUUAUGAUGGAAGUCAAAUCCCAACAUUUUAAUUUAAUUUAUUUAUUUUUUGAGACUGAGUUUCGCUCUUGUUGCCCAGGCUGGAGUGCAGUGGUGCGAUCUUGGCUCACCGCAACCUCUGCCUCCCAAGUUCAAGUGAUUCUCCUGCCUCAGCCUCUGGAGUAGCUGGGAUUACAGGCAUGCACCACCACGCCCGGCUAAUUUUGUAUUUUUAGUAGACAUGGGGUGUCUCCAUGUUGGUCAGGCUGGUCUAGAACUCCUGACCUCAGGUGAUCUGCCCACCUUGGCCUCCCAAAGUGCUGGGAUUACAGGCGUGAGCCACUGCGCCUGGCCCAAAUCCCAACAUUUUAAGGGUAACUGAGAAUGGCCAGAAAGGCAAGGAGGGAAACCAGGAGGAUUUGUUAUCACAGAAGACAGGAGGUUAAAUACAUCUGGCUCUGUGAAGGGGAGGUAACCCCCCUUCCUCUAGGAGAGACUGCAGGAUAUGCAAAUAAUGAUCUAGAAGGAGAGGGUGGAGAGAGGCUGGAGAUACUGGACCCUUGAGAGGGUGGGACCAGAGCUGGGUGACAGGAGUAAGCCCUUGGAAGUUAGCUGGAAGAGUUCCUUAUGAUGACUUUCCUCUGUGAAGGAAGAGAGGAAAUGGCCAUUUGGGGGUGGGUGAAAAAGAGUCAGGAUGAUGGCUGAGGAAACAGGAUUGUCAGACACCUCAGUGGACCCAGUUAGAGGCAUCAGUUGGCCCCUCAGGACACAGCAAGCAGGGUGAAGCAUGGGGAAGGGAGGAAGUUGGAUUAAUCUGUGGUUGGGGUUUUGAGGGUGUGUCAGGAAGUUAAGAUAUUGACAAGAGUAUGAAGGAAUUUUAGCUGAUUUGCCAGGAGAGAGAACAAGAAGCGGCUGAGCGGGUAAGACGGGGCCAAGGACCUGGGGAAGAAACGUGAGGUCCAAGGACAGGAGGGCUGGAAAGGUAACGGGGGUUGUGGUAUGAACAGAAAUCCUUCAGAGGAGCCCUGCAAGUGACUGGAAGAUGUUGAAGGUGAAGGGUACUGGAGCUUCAUCCCCAUGGGUAAUGGUGGUAUCUGGGGAGAAGGCACAGGACAGGGUCAAGGAACCUGAGCCAGAGGCCAGCACUUUUGGUGACUGAAGGGGCAUGAUGGAGAGCAGGUGCCAAAGAAAGAUGGUGGCAGACAAAUGGCAUGAGCCAUGAAGGAAGAAGAUUUUUUUUUUUUUUUUUUGAGACAGAGUCUUGGUCUGUCACCCAGGCUGGAGUGUGGUGGCACGAUCUUGGCUCACUGCAGCCUCUGCCUCCUGGGUUCAAGCGACUCUCCUGCCUAAGCCUCCUGAGUAGCUGGGACUACAGGUGCCUGCCACCACACCCGGUUAAUUUUUGUAUUUUUAGUAGUGACGGGGUUUCACCAUACUGGCCAGGCUGGUCUCAAACUCCUGACCUUGUGAUCCGCCUGCCUCGGCCUCCCAAAGUGCUGGGAUUACAGGCGUGAGCCACUGUGCCCGGCCUGGAAAGAAGAUUCUUUACAUGAAGGUGGCGAGUCAAAGGUCUGGCAAAGCAGCAGCUGGAACAAGGAAACUGAUCUCCUCUCCCCACCUGAAGGUUUCUGGAUAUGGGAGAGGGAGCAUCAGAGAGCCAAGAGGCAAGAAGUGCCUUUGAGGAGCCAGGUUUUAGUUAAGAAGGAUGACUUCAGAGCACAGAAUAGAAAUUAUGGGGGAGAAGGAAGUGAGGGACAUCUUAAAACACUAAGAGAUGUGCUAAGACAUGAUUCUAUCUUUCAAGACACUGACUUUUACCCUAUUUAAGUCUAGAACUCCAUUAUCAUAGUCCUCAUCUAACUCAAGUUUUGUUUUAAGUUUAUUUUGGCAUUGAGUUAAAUAUUAAUGCCAAGAUUCAGAAGUAGGUGACAGACCUAGA
rnacentral:lncRNA from 10 species